GGGGAUGUAGCUCAGAGGUAGAGCGCCUACCUAGCACGGAUGAGGCCCUGGGUUCAAUCCCCAGCACCACAA
rnacentral:tRNA from 1 species